rnacentral:rRNA from 1 species
AGAGGAGUGCUCGAAAGAGAACCUGCACGACAGGUGCUGCAUGGCUGUCGUCAGCUCGUGUCGUGAGAUGUUGGGUUAAGUCCCGCAACGAGCGCAACCCUUGCCAUCAGUUGCUACGAAAGGGCACUCUGAUGGGACUGCCGGUGACAAACCGGAGGAAGGUGGGGAUGACGUCAAGUCCUCAUGGCCCUUAUAGGUGGGGCUACACACGUCAUACAAUGGCCGGUACAAAGGGCAGCAAACCCGCGAGGGGGAGCCAAUCCAUCAAAGCCGGUCGUAGUCCGGAUCGCAGUCUGCAACUCGACUGCGUGAAGUCGGAAUCGCUAGUAAUCGUGGAUCAGCAUGUCACGGUGAAUACGUUCCCGGGUCUU